AGAGUUUGAUUUUGGCUCAGGACGAACGCUGGCGGCGUGCCUAAUACAUGCAAGUCGUACGCUUCUUUUUCCACCGGAGCUUGCUCCACCGGAAAAAGAGGAGUGGCGAACGGGUGAGUAACACGUGGGUAACCUGCCCAUCAGAAGGGGAUAACACUUGGAAACAGGUGCUAAUACCGUAUAACAAUCGAAACCGCAUGGUUUUGAUUUGAAAGGCGCUUUCGGGUGUCGCUGAUGAAUGGACCCGCGGUGCAUUAGCUAGUUGGUGAGGUAACGGCUCACCAAGGCCACGAUGCAUAGCCGACCUGAGAGGGUGAUCGGCCACAUUGGGACUGAGACACGGCCCAAACUCCUACGGGAGGCAGCAGUAGGGAAUCUUCGGCAAUGGACGAAAGUCUGACCGAGCAACGCCGCGUGAGUGAAGAAGGUUUUCGGAUCGUAAAACUCUGUUGUUAGAGAAGAAUAAGGAUGAGAGUAACUGUUCAUCCCUUGACGGUAUCUAACCAGAAAGCCACGGCUAACUACGUGCCAGCAGCCGCGGUAAUACGUAGGUGGCAAGCGUUGUCCGGAUUUAUUGGGCGUAAAGCGAGCGCAGGCGGUUUCUUAAGUCUGAUGUGAAAGCCCCCGGCUCAACCGGGGAGGGUCAUUGGAAACUGGGAGACUUGAGUGCAGAAGAGGAGAGUGGAAUUCCAUGUGUAGCGGUGAAAUGCGUAGAUAUAUGGAGGAACACCAGUGGCGAAGGCGGCUCUCUGGUCUGUAACUGACGCUGAGGCUCGAAAGCGUGGGGAGCAAACAGGAUUAGAUACCCUGGUAGUCCACGCCGUAAACGAU
rnacentral:rRNA from 1 species